AUGCAUUAAAUACAGCGUCUUGUUGACUCAUAAAAAGAAUUUAGUAUGAAACUGAGCCACCAUGAGUAUAUUUCUCAUUCUUGCCUUAUUUCUCCUGCUCGCAUCAGAUAAAUCAGAAAGUAAACGGCGAUAUAUAAAUUGCAGGCGCAAAGCUGGAAAGGUGGGACGCUGCAUUAUGAAAGGAUCUCCAUGUCCUGGCGUCACCCAUUCAAGUCGCGUUUGCAAUUCGGUAGCCGUUUGCUGUAUGCCUUAUCCAGAAAACACUGAGACAAUAUUAAUUCAAAAACAUUAUUAAGCACUUCAGGACAAAAAAAGAACGAAUCAGUUUAACAAAUGUUUUAAUUUUUGUAAUUGUUCUUUAUUACUUAGCUUAAUAAGAAAUUAAUAUGGUUGCAAUAGGCAGUAUUUUUACACUGCAAGCUACAGCAUAAUAUCAAAUCAUUUAAACAUUAAACAUUAACCAAUGUGUGUAAAAUUAA